CCACAAUGAAAUUCAGCAUGCUUUUGCACACGUAUGAACCAAAUCAAUAGCUGCUUAAAUGUGUAACUCAUUUUAUCUAUAUCUUAAAGGAACACUCCUAGUAAACUCAGAAUCAUAUGGUUUCCCUUUAAAUGAACGCAAACAACAUAACACUCGAGUCUGCUGUAGUGGUUAUGGUGCCAUUAGUGCUCAGGGCUGUCCCACUGUAAUGCGACAAAUUGUAUUAGUACAAUUGUAUUGCUGGGCACCUGAAGCUGCAUCGAUUGUUUCUAAAAAUUUCCCGUCAAAAGAAUCUGGUUAGCGCAAGUGCCUGAAUAGGGCCAUGCCUGCCUCAUCCAAUGAAAAUACCCAGGUUACUUGUCAGAACAUUCUAAACCAGCUUGCUAAAUU